rnacentral:rRNA from 1 species
UACGAAGGGUGCAAGCGUUAAUCGGAAUUACUGGGCGUAAAGCGUGCGUAGGUGGUUUGUUAAGUCUGCUGUGAAAGCCCUGGGCUCAACCUGGGAAUGGCGGUGGAUACUGACAAGCUAGAGUGCGGUAGAGGAGGGUGGAAUUCCCGGUGUAGCGGUGAAAUGCGUAGAUAUCUGGAGGAACACCGGUGGCGAAGGCGGCUUUCUGGACAGUAACUGACGCUGAUGCGCGAAAGCUAGGGGAGCAAACAGG